ACUCCUACGGGAGGCAGCAGUGGGAAUAUUGGACAAUGGGGGCAACCCUGAUCCAGCGAUGCCGCGUGUGUGAAGAAGGCCUGAGGGUUGUAAAGCACUUUCAGUGGGGAGGAAAGCUCCAUGGUGAAUAGCCUUGGAGUUUGACGUUACCCACCAUAAACAGCACCGGCUAACUCCGUGCCAGCAGCCGCGGUAAUACGGGGGUGGC
rnacentral:rRNA from 1 species